GACAGAGGGUGCAAACGUUUGUUCGGAAUUACUGGGCGUAAAGCGCGUGUAGGCGGCUAUGUAAGUCGGGCGUGAAAUCCCACGGCUCAACCGUGGAAGUGCACUCGAAACUGCAUAGCUAGAGUCCUGGAGAGGAAGGUGGAAUGCUUGGUGUAGAGGUGAAAUUCGUAGAUAUCAAGCGGAACACCGGUGGCGAAGGCGGCCUUCUGGACAGUGACUGACGCUGAGACGCGAAAGCGUCGGGGAGCAAACAGGG
rnacentral:rRNA from 1 species